UGGGGGAUAUUGCACAAUGGGCGAAAGCCUGAUGCAGCGACGCCGCGUGGGGGAUGAAGGCCUUCGGGUUGUAAACUUCUUUUGCUCUGAACAAGGCGCACCAUGGGGUGUGUUGAGUGUAGGGGUUGAUUAGCGCCGGCUAACUACGUGCCAGCAGCCGCGGUAAUACGUAGGGCGCGAGCGUUGUCCGGAAUUAUUGGGCGUAAAGGGCUUGUAGGUGGCUGGUUGCGUCUGUCGUGAAAGCUCAUGGCUUAACUGUGGGUUUGCGGUGGGUACGGGCUGGCUGGAGUGCAGUAGGGGAGGCUGGAAGUCCUGGUGUAGCGGUGGAAUGCGCAGAUAUCAGGAGGAAUACCGGUGGCGAAGGCGGGGCUCUGGGCUGUUACUGACACUGAGGAGCGAAAGCAUGGGGAGCGAACAGG
rnacentral:rRNA from 1 species